rnacentral:rRNA from 1 species
GACGAACGCUGGCGGCGUGCUUAACACAUGCAAGUCGAGCGGAGCGGCGAACGGGUGAGUAACGCGUGAGUAACUGCCCCCCUCUCUGGGAUAACAGUUGGAAACGGCUGCUAAUACCGGAUAGUGGGGGAUGACUCGCGUCCUAUCAGCUUGUUGGUGGGGUAGUGGCCUACCAAGGCGACGACGGGUAGCCGGCCUGGGAGGGCGACCGGCCCCCUUGGGCUGCGAUACGGCCCAGUCGCCAACGGGAGGCAGUGGUGGGGAAUAUUGUACAACGGGGGAACCUCUGAUGCAGAAACGCCCCGUGCGGGAUGCCGGCUUUCGGGUGGUAAACCGCUUUCAGCCAUGACGCGGUAGUGGCAGAAGAAGCACCGGCUAACUACGUGCCAGCCGCCGCGGUAAUUC